rnacentral:rRNA from 1 species
GAUGAACGCUGGCGGCGUGCCUAAUACAUGCAAGUCGAGCGAACGGACGAGAAGCUUGCUUCUCUGAUGUUAGCGGCGGACGGGUGAGUAACACGUGGAUAACCUACCUAUAAGACUGGGAUAACUUCGGGAAACCGGAGCUAAUACCGGAUGAUAUUUUGAACCGCAUGGUUCAAAAGUGAAAGACGGUCUUGCCGUCACUUAUAGAUGGAUCCGCGCUGCAUUAGCUAGUUGGUAAGGUAACGGCUUACCAAGGCAACGAUGCAUAGCCGACCUGAGAGGGGGAUCGGCCACACUGGAACUGAGACACGGUCCAGACUCCUACGGGAGGCAGCAGUAGGGAAUCUUCCGCAGUGGGCGGAAGCCUGACGGAGCAACGCCGCGUGAGUGAUGGAGGUCUUCGGAUCGUAAAACUCUGUUAUUAGGGAAGAACAUAUGUGUAAGUAACUGUGCACAUCUUGACGGUACCUAAUCAGAAAGCCACGGCUAACUACGUG